CAAUAGCGUAUAUUAAAGUUGUUGCGGUUAAAAAGCUCGUAGUUGGAUUUCUGUUGGGAACGACCGGUCCGCCCAUUGGGUGUGUAUCUGGCUUGUUCUCGGCAUCUUCUUGGUGAACGUUGCUGCACUUGACUGUGUGGAGCGCUACCCAGGACUUUUACUUUGAGGAAAUUAGAGUGUUUCAAGCAGGCAUAUGCCUUGAAUACAUUAGCAUGGAAUAAUAAGAUAGGACCUCGGUUCUAUUUUGUUGGUUUCUAGAGCUGAGGUAAUGAUUAAUAGGGAUAGUUGGGGGCAUUCGUAUUUAACUGUCAGAGGUGAAAUUCUUGGAUUUGUUAAAGACGGACUGCUGCGAAAGCAUUUGCCAAGGAUGUUUUCAUUGA
rnacentral:rRNA from 1 species